AUCUCUUCUUCCAGUGGCCUGUCUAAGGUGAUAUUUCCUACAUUUUGAGAGCCUAGAACCAUGAAGCUCUACCUUUUAACUUUUCUUAUGGCUUUUCUGGCUGUCCUGGCCGGAGCUGAUGAUUCAUCCGAAGAGCGCGAUCACAGGAAUCGUUAUGAUGACUAUGCCGACUAUGGUGGAUAUUAUUGAUAUCCUCGAAAUCUUCAAAAUGCAGGACAAGGGAGACAUCAAUAAACAGCUUUGCCUGGAAGACUGACUCAAUCUGUCUCUGUGAUGAAUCUACAAAUCUACAAAUUUGUCAAUCUCUCCACCUGCCUAGUGAUCAGCACCUAUUACUGAGCAUUAGAUGGUAGCUCCAAGCUUAUUAGAUUAGCAUGAAUCACUCCUCCAAAGGAUUAUGCUCUCCCUGACAUUGUCCAUAUAAUAAAUUCAGCUCACAGCA